AGGAUGCAAAUGUAUGUGAGAACUCAGAAAUGGGAGGGGGUCACUGACCCGUGCCACAAGGAUUUCCGGAGCCCCUUCUGUGAGACAUGCUCUGCUGAGGUGCUGGGGAUAGCACAACGAACCAGGCUGAGAGUCCCUGCUCUCACACAGCCUGUGUUCUACUAGGGGAGAGAACACCCAUAAGAAACUCAGUCAGGCUGGGCACAGCGCCUCCUUCAUGCCUUUAAUCUCAACACUUUGGGAAGCCAAGGUGGGAGGAUUACUUAAGCUCAGCCUGGGCAGCAUAGUGAGACCCCAUCUCUACAAAAAAUUUUAAAUUAGCCAGCCAUGGUGGUGCAUGCCUAUAGUCCCAGCUCCUCAGGAGGCUGAGGUCGGAGGAUCUCUUAACUCCAGGAGGUCAACUAAUGAGCCAAAAUCAUGCCACUGCACUCCAGCCUGAGCAACAGACAAAGACCCUGUCUCAAACAACAUCAACAAACCAGGAACUCAAUCAUUUCCAACUGUGUGAAGGGCCAAGAGGAAAAUAUUCAGGGUGAGGGUCCAUGAGAGUGCUGGCUAAUAGGCUAAACAUGGAGACACACGACGGACCUUCUAGAAAAGACAUUCCCUGAUAAAAAGCAAUGGUGCCCAUUGAUGCUUCUGCUCUUUGUUCUACCCUUGCCUUCCUGCCUCGAAUGAGAAUAUCAAGAGGCCCCUGGCAUGCAGGAACUUGCAGUAUAAAAUGCAAAACCUCCUUGGGAACAGGAGAACACAAACCACAUGCUGUGGGUGGCAGAACAGAGAGAGGAGCCUGGGUCCCUUCUGGCACCAAGUUGAGGCUGGAGCCGCCUGAUCUGUCUCCCUCUGGAAUUUUCCUCAUGACAGAAAAAUAAAUUCCUGUUUGGCUAAACCAC